AGUGAACGCUGGCGGUAGGCCUAACACAUGCAAGUCGAACGGCAGCACAGUAAGAGCUUGCUCUUACGGGUGGCGAGUGGCGGACGGGUGAGGAAUACAUCGGAAUCUACUUUUUCGUGGGGGAUAACGUAGGGAAACUUACGCUAAUACCGCAUACGACCUACGGGUGAAAGCAGGGGAUCUUCGGACCUUGCGCGAUUGAAUGAGCCGAUGUCGGAUUAGCUAGUUGGCGGGGUAAAGGCCCACCAAGGCGACGAUCCGUAGCUGGCCUGAGAGGAUGAUCAGCCACACUGGAACUGAGACACGGUCCAGACUCCUACGGGAGGCAGCUGUGGGGAAUAUUGGACAAUGGGCGCAAGCCUGAUCCAGCCAUACCGCGUGGGUGAAGAAGGCCUUCGGGUUGUAAAGCCCUUUUGUUGGGAAAGAAAAGCAGCAGGUUAAUACCCCGCUGUUCUGACGGUACCCAAAGAAUAAGCACCGGCUAACUUCGUG
rnacentral:rRNA from 1 species